rnacentral:rRNA from 1 species
UGGCGAACGGGUGAGUAACACGUGAGCAACCUGCCCCUGACUCUGGGAUAAGCGCUGGAAACGGCGUCUAAUACUGGAUAUGUGACGUGACCGCAUGGUCUGCGUCUGGAAAGAAUUUCGGUUGGGGAUGGGCUCGCGGCCUAUCAGCUUGUUGGUGAGGUAAUGGCUCACCAAGGCGUCGACGGGUAGCCGGCCUGAGAGGGUGACCGGCCACACUGGGACUGAGACACGGCCCAGACUCCUACGGGAGGCAGCAGUGGGGAAUAUUGCACAAUGGGCGCAAGCCUGAUGCAGCAACGCCGCGUGAGGGACGACGGCCUUCGGGUUGUAAACCUCUUUUAGCAGGGAAGAAGCGAAAGUGACGGUACCUGCAGAAAAAGCGCCGGCUAACUACGUGCCAGCAGCCGCGGUAAUACGUAGGGCGCAAGCGUUAUCCGGAAUUAUUGGGCGUAAAGAGCUCGUAGGCGGUUUGUCGCGUCUGCUGUGAAAUCCGGAGGCUCAACCUCCGGCCUGCAGUGGGUACGGGCAGACUAGAGUGCGGUAGGGGAGAUUGGAAUUCCUGGUGUAGCGGUGGAAUGCGCAGAUAUCAGGAGGAACACCGAUGGCGAAGGCAGAUCUCUGGGCCGUAACUGACGCUGAGGAGCGAAAGGGUGGGGAGCAAACAGGCUUAGAUACCCUGGUAGUCCACCCCGUAAACGUUGGGAACUAGUUGUGGGGUCCAUUCCACGGAUUCCGUGACGCAGCUAACGCAUUAAGUUCCCCGCCUGGGGAGUACGGCCGCAAGGCUAAAACUCAAAGGAAUUGACGGGGACCCGCACAAGCGGCGGAGCAUGCGGAUUAAUUCGAUGCAACGCGAAGAACCUUACCAAGGCUUGACAUAUACGAGAACGGGCCAGAAAUGGUCAACUCUUUGGACACUCGUAAACAGGUGGUGCAUGGUUGU